UUUCAUUACAAAUGUUCAAAGAUUCCCAGAGCUUUGACAGCACUGCCUGAGACGAUCAGAUUCCGGGAAGAAUAAAGGCCUCUCUUUUCUUGCAUCUGCCGCCUGAGUCCGGAACUGCUUCAUACUCUUUCCCCCAUCCCUGCACCCUACAGCCCUAGGAAACUAGGACAAGCACCUUCUGGCCGUUGGAUCCAAAUGAGACAGCGCCUGACCAGUGAUGCUGAUCAGCAGUUCAUGAGGACAUGAGCUUCUCCACACACAGACGAGAAAGGCCCAGCAAACACGAGGUGCUCGUAAGUUAGA